AGCGAACGCUGACGGCAUGUUUAACACAUGCAAGUCGCGCGGGUGGUUUCGGCCAUCAGCGGCGGACGGGUGAGUAUCGCGUAGGAAUGUAUCCCGAGGUGGGGGACAACCCUGGGAAACUGGGGCUAAUACCGCAUGGGGCCUGUGGGUCAAAGCCUUAGGGCGCCUUGGGAGCAGCCUGCGUCCGAUUAGGUAGUUGGUGGGGUAAAGGCCUACCAAGCCUGCGAUCGGUAGCUGGUCUGAGAGGACGAUCAGCCACACUGGGACUGAGACACGGCCCAGACUCCUACGGGAGGCAGCAGUGGGGAAUAUUGGACAAUGGGCGCAAGCCUGAUCCAGCAAUGCCGCGUGGGUGAAGAAGGUCUUCGGAUUGUAAAGCCCUUUCGGCGGGGACGAUGAUGACGGUACCCGCAGAAGAAGCCCCGGCUAACUUCGUG
rnacentral:rRNA from 1 species